GAUAUAAAAUGAAGCAAACAUUAUUGCUCAGUGGACAGCAGCGAAACUUUUCCAGAGGACUGGUCAGACACAACACUUCUUGAACCUUUUCCAAAGUCCUCUAAGGUCAGCAGGAAUCAUUUUUAUGCAGUGGACAAGCACAGAUCACAGGAAUAUAUACCAAGUCACUGCUUCUCCAUGAAACUAUUUCUGAAUGAUUAAGGUGAAUACAGAUUCUGGGACCGUAAGAAGACCUACAUUAUCAGCAGACAUGCAAUGAAACAGCAACAUGAUGGCCUUUGAUCCAGCCAAAGAAGGGAAUAUGGCCAAAGAGAGUGGAGAUCACUUGACGUCUAAACCUUCUGACCUUCCUGGCAAAGCUCUAUAAGGACCUCUACAGUGGGUAGAACUACAGUGAAGAGCUCAUAGUGCUCAGCUAGGGAUGCUUCCAAUUUGAUUAAA